AGAGUUUGAUCCUGGCUCGGGAUGAACGCUAGCUACAGGCUUAACACAUGCAAGUCGAGGGGAAACGACAUCGAAAGCUUGCUUUUGAUGGGCGUCGACCGGCGCACGGGUGAGUAACGCGUAUCCAACCUGCCCAUCACUUGGGGAUAACCUUGCGAAAGUAAGACUAAUACCCAAUGACGUCUCUAGAAGACAUCUGAAAGAGAUUAAAGAUUUAUCGGUGAUGGAUGGGGGAUGCGUCUGAUUAGCUUGUUGGCGGGGUAACGGCCCACCGAAGGCCGACGAUCAGUAGGGGUUCUGAGAGGAGGUCCCCCANAUUGGAACUGAGACACGGUCCAAACUCCUACGGGAGCA
rnacentral:rRNA from 1 species